rnacentral:lncRNA from 1 species
AAAAUAGCUUAGAUCUAAUUUCCAUGCAGUUCUGUGCAUAAACCUGUUCAGCAACCACCAGUGAGUUCAGGAAGAGAAUACUUUUCCAUGUUCUUUUCCCAGUGAGAAAUAUUGAGGCAACCUCUCAUGUGUGGUGCCCUGCAUUCCACUGAGAUUUCAUUGAGAUUCUCAAAUCUCUGCUUUGUUUUCUGACCUUUCUGGCCAUAAACUUCUCUACUAAUAUUGUCUACACUGUUGUCCCACCAGAAUAAAGCUCUUACAGGAGGUGAGAGCUGAGCACAAAGGCAGCAGAGAGUCAGAUUGUCAGUAAAUUUUCAGUCAACAGGAAUUAAUAACAGCAAAAGACCCGAAAUUAUGAAAACCCCAUGCCUGAAUUUGACCCAGUGGAUUCAGAGAAAAGGGCAACGAGAUUAAAUAUUCUUGGUGGACAUAAUUUGCUGAGAAAAAGCCCUGAGCUUUCAUGCCCAACUCAUCUUGCCAAUUUAUAUGUGCAUCAUUAGAUUUCUACAGUUGACACAUAGAUGUCCACAGUAAAGCCUACAGGUAACACCUGCUUGAACCAUCCUACUAAAAUCCAACAGUCCAGGAGAAAACAGCCUCAGGCUGUCAGCUGCUAAUCAUUGACAUUAGAUUAGUACCUUCACUUUCUGUGUAGGAAAGGUAAAGGUAAAGGUAGAGGGCAGGACAUGAGCCCUGAGUGUCAACAAGAUGACAUGGGGCCCCAUCACACUGAGUUUGUGUAAGUUUUGCUUCUGACUGGUUUUCCUCCCGAGCCCUAGAAAAUCAGGACAACCUGAGAUCUAUAGAACUGAAGGCACACAGGUGAUGGCCCACACUGAGACAGGUGAAAAAAGAGAGUUAAAUUAAGUAUUUCUUCCUCACAGUCCAGAACGUGACUUGAAAGGAUAGAGACGUGUUAAAGGAACUUUACAAGAUAUUAAAGGUAAUGACAGGCAUUGCUGCUGGGCUAACAAGGGAGAAGUGCCUGACCAGUGUUGGACCCUUCAGAAAUCUUACCAACUUGACAGCGAUCUAUUUAAGCCAGAGGACAGCCAAGAAAGAACUUCAGGCUCAAAACUAA